rnacentral:rRNA from 1 species
UACAGAGGGUGCAAGCGUUAAUCGGAAUUACUGGGCGUAAAGCGUGCGUAGACGGUUAUGUAAGUCAGGUGUGAAAGCCCCGGGCUCAACCUGGGAAUGGCAUUUGAGACUGCAUAGCUAGGGUGCGGAAGAGGGAAGCGGAAUUUCCGGUGUAGCGGUGAAAUGCGUAGAUAUUAGGAGGAACACCAAAGGCGAAGGCAGCUUGCUGGACGAGAUCUGACGCUGAAGCACGAAAGCGUGGGGAGCAAAAGGG